UACCAGCACCCCGAGUGGUCGGGACGAUUAUUGGGCCUAAAGCAUCCGUAGCCGGUUUUACAAGUCCUCCGUUAAAUCCAGCUGCUUAACAGAUGGGCUGCGGAGGAUACUAUAAGACUAGGAGGCAGGAGAGGCAAGCGGUACUCAGUGGGUAGGGGUAAAAUCCGUUGAUCCAUUGAAGACCACCAGUGGCGAAGGCGGCUUGCCAGAACGCGCUCGACGGUGAGGGAUGAAAGCUGGGGGAGCAAGCCGGG
rnacentral:rRNA from 1 species